UACUUUUCUUUCCUUUAUAAACAUUUCAGCUAAUUACUUACAGCUUUAAAAGCCUCAUUUAAUCCCCAGGGCACCCUAGAGUUAGAAAUCUUUAUCUAGGUUUACUAGCUGUGGCAAAAUGCCAUUUGCGCUAAGUGAUCAGUGAGAAGUAGUCAGCUGCAUCUGAUGUCAUAAAAGAAGAAAUGUCCUAGAAACUGCCGAUCUGUUUGGUCUUAGUUCUGAAUCUCCUAUUAAAUGAGUCUUAGCAGCUCAGAAGUCAUUUCAUCCUGAUCUAUGUGACUGAGAUUCAUGGACUGGAACUGGGUUAAGCAAACUGUUUUGAAAAUCAGUAGACAGUACAACAACUUUAAUCUGAAUCACACAAUCUGGAUUUGGCUUUGAAAAAGAUUGUAAGCACCAGAUUGUUGCUUUUUGAGGUAAGGAGGAAGAUGCAUGUUAUUCUUCAUAUUGGAAAAUUAAAUGACACCAUCACAUUCUCA
rnacentral:lncRNA from 1 species